UACAGAGGGUGCAAGCGUUAAUCGGAAUUACUGGGCGUAAAGCGUGCGUAGACGGUUAUGUAAGUCAGGUGUGAAAGCCCCGGGCUCAACCUGGGAAUUGCAUUUGAGACUGCAUAGCUAGGGUGCGGAAGAGGGAAGCGGAAGUUUCCGGUGAUGAGCGGUGAAAUGCGUAGAUAUACGGAAGGAACAUCAGUGGCGAAAGCGGCUUCCUGGUCCAGCACCGAACGUCAGGCACGAAAGCGUGGGGAGCAAACAGG
rnacentral:rRNA from 1 species